rnacentral:rRNA from 1 species
AGAGUUUGAUCCUGGCUCAGAAUGAACGUUGCGGCGUGGAUUAGGCAUGCAAGUCGUACGGGCCAGCAAUGGCCCAGUGGCGAAAGGGAGAGGAAUACGCAGGUAUCUACCUCCGGGUCGGGGAUAGCCACGGGAAACUGUGGGUAAUACCCGAUAACGUCUCCGGACCAAAGGUGUGAUUCCACCUGGAGAGGAGCCUGCGUCCUAUUAGCUAGUUGGUGAGGUAAUGGCUCACCAAGGCUACGAUGGGUACGGGGUGUGAGAGCAUGCCCCCGCUCACUGGGACUGAGACACUGCCCAGACACCUACGGGUGGCUGCAGUCGAGAAUCUUCCGCAAUGGGCGCAAGCCUGACGGAGCGACGCCGCGUGUGGGAUGAAGGCCUUCGGGUUGUAAACCACUGUCGUAGAGGAGGAAGGACCGGUGCAGAGCCGGUUUUGACCUAUUCUAGGAGGAAGGGUGGGCUAAGUUCGUGCCAGCAGCCGCGGUAAGACGAACCACCCAAACGUUAUUCGGAAUUACUGGGCUUAAAGGGUGCGUAGGCGGCGCGGAAAGUCAGAUGUGAAAUCCCUCGGCUUAACCGAGGAACUGCGUUUGAAACUACCGUGCUUGAGUAAGACAGAGGUAAGCGGAACUUCGGGUGGAGCGGUGAAAUGCGUUGAUAUCCGAAGGAACACCGGUGGCGAAAGCGGCUUACUGGG